UCUCCGUAGGUGAACCUGCGGAGGGAUCAUUACAAGUGACCCCGGUCUUACCACCGGGAUGUUCAUAACCCUUUGUUGUCCGACUCUGUUGCCCCCGGGGCGACCCUGCCUUCGGGCGGGGGCUCCGGGUGGACACUUCAAACUCUUGCGUAACUUUGCAGUCUGAGUAAACUUAAUUAAUAAAUUAAAACUUUUAACAACGGAUCUCUUGGUUCUG
rnacentral:misc_RNA from 1 species